AUAACAUAUUUCACAAAGAAUUCCCCCCACACACACACACAAAGAAGUUCGUAAGACAAUUCAACUUUUGACAAAGAAGAUGCAAAUCAACUUCUCCUACCAAAUGAACAUGGUAAAAAGGCCAGGGAAUAUGAAGUAUGGCUCAACAGUAGAAAACUUGACCUGAAAGUUCUGAAUGCAAUGCCCAGCAUUUUACAAAAGGUGUUUCCAGACAUGGAGGAGAUAUAUAAGAAAGCUCAUGCUGCUAUCCGAGAGAAUCCAGUCUACGAGAAGAAGCCCAAGAGAGAAGUGAAGAAGAAGAGGUGGAAUCGUCCCAAAAUGUCUCUUGCCCAGAAGAAAGACCGGGUUGCUCAAAAGAAGGCAAGCUUCCUCAGAGCUCAGGAUCGGGCUGCUGAAAGCUAAAGCCAUUUUCUAUGAAGAUUUUUUUCAUAAAGACAAUAAACAUUGAUCAAAGCAAAA
rnacentral:lncRNA from 1 species